UAAGUGAAUAAGGGCGCACGGUGGAUGCCUUGGCACUAGGAGCCGAUGAAGGACGGGACUAACACCGAUAUGCUUUGGGGAGCUGUACGUAAGCUAUGAUCCAGAGAUUUCCGAAUGGGGGAACCCAACAUCUUUAAUAGGAUGUUACGAUUGUGUGAAUACAUAGCACAUUCGAGGUAGACGCAGAGAACUGAAACAUCUAAGUACCUG
rnacentral:rRNA from 1 species